rnacentral:rRNA from 1 species
UAGGGAAUCUUCGGCAAUGGGGGGAACCCUGACCGAGCAACGCCGCGUGAGUGAAGAAGGUUUUCGGAUCGUAAAGCUCUGUUGUUAAGGAAGAACGAGUGUGAGAAUGGAAAGUUCAUGCUGUGACGGUACUUAACCAGAAAGGGACGGCUAACUACGUGCCAGCAGCCGCGGUAAUACGUAGGUCCCGAGCGUUGUCCGGAUUUAUUGGGCGUAAAGCGAGCGCAGGCGGUCAAUUAAGUCUGAUGUGAAAGCCCCCGGCUCAACCGGGGAGGGUCAUUGGAAACUGGUUGACUUGAGUGCAGAAGAGGAGAGUGGAAUUCCAUGUGUAGCGGUGAAAUGCGUAGAUAUAUGGAGGAACGCCAGUGGCGAAGGCGACUCUCUGGUCUGUAACUGACGCUGAGGCUCGAAAGCGUGGGUAGCAAACAGG